rnacentral:tRNA from 1 species
CCGACCUUAGCUCAGUUGGUAGUGCAGAGGACUGUAGUUUGAUUAAUCUAAAUUGGAAAUCCUUAGGUCGCUGGUACAAAUCCGGCAGGUCGGA